rnacentral:rRNA from 1 species
ACUCCUGCGGGAGGCAGCAGUGGGGAAUUUUGGACAAUGGGGGCAACCCUGAUCCAGCAAUGCCGCGUGAGUGAAGAAGGCCUUCGGGUUGUAAAGCUCUUUUGUCAGGGAAGAAACGGUGGUGGCGAAUAACUACUACUAAUGACGGUACCUGAAGAAUAAGCACCGGCUAACUACGUGCCAGCAGCCGCGGUAAUACGUAGGGUGCAAGCGUUAAUCGGAAUUACUGGGCGUAAAGCGUGCGCAGGCGGUUGUGUAAGUCAGAUGUGAAAUCCCCGGGCUCAACCUGGGAAUUGCAUUUGAGACUGCACGGCUAGAGUGUGUCAGAGGGGGGUAGAAUUCCACGUGUAGCAGUGAAAUGCGUAGAUAUGUGGAGGAAUACCGAUGGCGAAGGCAGCCCCCUGGGAUAACACUGACGCUCAUGCACGAAAGCGUGGGGAGCAAACAGGAUUAGAUACCCUUGUAGUCCCAU